rnacentral:rRNA from 1 species
AAUACCGCAUACGGUUCUUGGAAGGCAUCUUCUAAGAAAGAAAGGAUUUAUUCGGUAAAAGAUGGGCCCGCAUCUGAUUAGCUAGUUGGUGAGAUAAUAGCCCACCAAGGCAACGAUCAGUAGCCGACCUGAGAGGGUGACCGGCCACAUUGGGACUGAGACACGGCCCAAACUCCUACGGGAGGCAGCAGUGGGGAAUAUUGCACAAUGGGCGAAAGCCUGAUGCAGCAACGCCGCGUGAAGGAAGACGGUUUUCGGAUUGUAAACUUCUAUCAAUAGGGAAGAAAGAAAUGACGGUACCUAAAUAAGAAGCCCCGGCUAACUACGUGCCAGCAGCCGCGGUAAUACGUAGGGGGCAAGCGUUAUCCGGAAUUACUGGGUGUAAAGGGAGAGUAGGCGGCAAGGUAAGCGAUAUGUGAAAGCCUUAAGCUUAACUAAAGGAUUGCAUAACGAACUAUCUAGCUAGAGUACAGGAGAGGAAAGCGGAAUUCCUAGUGUAGCGGUGAAAUGCGUAGAUAUUAGGAAGAACACCAGUGGCGAAGGCGGCUUUCUGGACUGAAACUGACGCUGAGGCUCGAAAGCGUGGGGAGAGAACAGGAUUAGAUACCCUGGUAGUCCACGCUGUAAACGAUGAGUGCUAGGUGUCGGGGAGGAAUUCCCGGUGCCGGAGC